rnacentral:rRNA from 1 species
GAGGGAAGAGCCCAAGAUUGAAAGCUGGCGCCUUCGGCGUCCGCAUUGUAAUCUCAAGAAGUGUUUUCCGCUUCGGACCAUGCCUAAGUCCCUUGGAAAAGGGCAUCAUAGAGGGUGAGAAUCCCGUAUGCGGUCGGAAAGGUGCUCUAUACGUAGCUCCUUCGACGAGUCGAGUUGUUUGGGAAUGCAGCUCAAAAUGGGUGGUAAAUGCCAUCUAAGGCUAAAUAUUGGGGAGAGACCGAUAGCGAACAAGUACAGUGAUGGAAAGAUGAAAAGAACUUUGAAAAGAGAGUUAAACAGUACGUGAAAUUGCCAAAAGGGAAGGGUAGGAGGUCAGAGAUGCGUCUUGGGAUUCAGCCUUGCUUUUGCAUGGUGUUUUUCCCAAGUUGCAGGCCAACGUCGGUUUUGGGCACUGGAGAAGGGUAGGAGGAACGUGGCACCUCUCGGGGUGUGUUAUAGCCUCCUACUGGAUACAGCGACCGAGACCGAGGAACGCAGCGUACUCGUAAGAGCGGGCCUUUUGGCACCUUUACGCUUAGGGCGUUGGCAUAAUGGCCCUCUACCACCCGUCUUGA